AGCUUUACGCAGUGGCAAUAUCGUAGCCAAUAAAAUUUAUCCGAGGUGCAAUUAUUGCUAAUUGAAAACUAUUCCCAAUACCCCGCCAUGACGACUUGAAAUAUAGUCAGCAUUGACAAUUUUUUACAGUCUCUACAGAGA
rnacentral:snRNA from 1 species